CCUCAGAAUGGUUGGAAAUCAUUCAUAGAGUGUAAAGGCAUAAGGGAGCUUGACUGCGAGACUUACAAGUCGAGCAGGGUCGAAAGACGGACUUAGUGAUCCGGUGGUUCCGCAUGGAAGGGCCAUCGCUCAACGGAUAAAAGCUACCCCGGGGAUAACAGGCUUAUCUCCCCCAAGAGUUCACAUCGACGGGGAGGUUUGGCACCUCGAUGUCGGCUCAUCGCAUCCUGGGGCUGUAGUCGGUCCCAAGGGUUGGGCUGUUCGCCCAUUAAAGCGGUACGCGAGCUGGGUUCAGAACGUCGUGAGACAGUUCGGUCCCUAUCCGUCGUGGGCGUAGGAAAUUUGAGAGGAGCUGUCCUUAGUACGAGAGGACCGGGAUGGACAUACCUCUGGUGUACCAGUUGUCGUGCCAACGGCAUAGCUGGGUAGCUAUGUAUGGACGGGAUAAGUGCUGAAAGCAUCUAAGCAUGAAGCCCCCCUCAAGAUGAGAUUUCCCAACUUCGGUUAUAAGAUCCCUCAAAGAUGAUGAGGUUAAUAGGUUCGAGGUGGAAGCGUGGUGACACGUGGAGCUGACGAAUACUAAUCGAUCGAAGACUUAAUCAAAA
rnacentral:rRNA from 1 species